CUUCCAAAACAUUUCAACUGCUUGUGCGACUAUGCGAGAACUCCGGUCUCCAGUGGCUUACCAGUGUUAAACACUGGUGCAGUAAAAGCGGCUGACUGGUUUAUAUAAUGCAAGGACGGGGCCAGGAUUAAAUAAUGCGGUGAUUGGCCCACAGCAUUAUUUAAUCCUGGCUCCGCCCCUGUCUCCCUCUUCUUCCCGUUCUCUGUGAAAUCAUAUCUAGCUAACUCUCUCAUUCCCUUCUUCCACUAUCCAGUAAAUACAAUUGAUUGGUGUUAAACCCAUAAAAACGUUCGAAUCUUGCUGUUGACCCAUAUCUAUUGGGCUUUCCUGCUGGUGAUGCAUUUUAUUGGCUGACACGGCGGUGAGAAGAGGAGUGGCGUCAAGCUUCGUAGACCAUCGGCUAUGGCGAGACAAUGGCAGCCAGCUUUAUAUCUGUGAGGCGAGUAGCGGUGUCCAGCUUUGCUUUAUCGAGACCAACGUUAGCCGGCUACAACGGCAGCGAGCUUCCCGUUAACUAUAUUAUAUCUGUGUGGCGAGUUGCGGCGUCCAGCUUCGGCAACCAUCUGUGAGGGGUUAGCCAUAUAUCUGUGAGGCUACAACGGCAGCGAGCUUCCCGUUAACUAUAUUAUAUCUGUGUGGCGAGUUGCGGCGUCCAGCUUCGGCAACCAUCUGUGAGGGGAGCUUCGUAGACCAUCUGCAAUGUUAGACAUCGGCAGUAGCGAGACAGCGACUUCAAGCUUCAACGACCAUCUACGAUGCCAGACACGGCAGCGAGCUAUAGCGAGACCACCGUUAGCUAUAUAUCUGUGAGGCGAGUAGCGGCAGUGGCGAGACAACGACUUCAAGCUUCAACGACCAUCUACGAUGCGAGACAACGGCAGCGAGCUUUAGUGAGACCACCGUUAGCUAUAUAUCUGUGAGGCGAGUAGCGGCGUCCAGCUUUGGCAACAUCUGCGAUUUGAGAUUUUUUGCUGCGUCAAUCAGAAACUUGAGAUUUUUCACCCAUCAUAAGCUGAGCUCCGAACAUUUUGGGCGGUGCAAGGCGGAGAAUGAUGUUGAGACUUGAGGAUAAACCCUAGUAUACUCAUUACUUGAAAUUGGGUUCAAGUAAUUGGCGUCAAAAAACAAAGUUUUGGUGGGAAAUAAUUUUCAGACAUCAAUAGCGAGAGGAACAACAUCUUUCAUAAGUUCAAAGUAGAUCGUUGCGAGCGCGCUAGAAGAUGGAUUAGUUUAGCGUAGCUCCCUUUUG